rnacentral:piRNA from 1 species
CCCUCUGCUUGGGGGUAGGAAGCUUGG